GGAAGGAGCCAAUAGCUCCAUGGUAGAGCAUCUGCUUUGCAUGCAGAAGGUCCUGGGUUCAAGCCCUGGCAUUUCCA